UAGAUACUUUAGUGGCCUUUGCUGUUGAGU
rnacentral:piRNA from 1 species